UUGCUCUUCAACGAGGAAUUCCUAGUAAGCGCGAGUCAUCAGCUCGCGUUGAUUACGUCCCUGCCCUUUGUACACACCGCCCGUCGCUACUACCGAUUGAAUGGCUUAGUGAGGUCUCCGGAUCGGCUUCGGGGAGCCGGAAACGGCAUCCCGUCGCUGAGAAGCUGAUCAAACUUGGUCAUUUAGAGGAAGUAAAAGUCGUAACAAGGUUUCCGUAGGUGAACCUGCGGAAGGAUCAUUAUCGAAUGUGUCCCUCACACACACACACACACCGUGCACUUUCGGGCGACCCCGGUCGUCCGCUUUUUCCCCGACUACGCAUGUCUCGAAUGUGAUGUCUUCGUUAACACGAAACAACUUUCGACAACGGAUCUCUUGGCUCUCGCAUCGAUGAAGAACGCAGCGAAAUGCGAUAAGUAAUGUGAAUUGCAGAAUUCAGUGAAUCAUCGAAUCUUUGAACGCACCUUGCGCCCCUCGGCAUUCCUUGGGGCACGCCCGUUCGAGUGUCACGACAAACCCUCGCCGCCCUUCUGGGCGUUGCGGACUUGGACCGUGCCGGCGCUCCGCCGGCUCGUCUCGAAAUGCAUCGGUCGCGGGAUGUCCCGUGUCGACGACGUGGUAAUCUCUUCGUCGCCGACCGGGGCGGGUCUCCGGCCUCACACACAUUGUCUUUUGCGCUCUGGCCUCGAAUCGGGCGGGAUUACCCGCCGAACUUAAGCAUAUCAAUAAGCGGAGGA
rnacentral:rRNA from 1 species